AAAGGAAUUGACGGGAGCCCGCACAAGCAGUGGAGUAUGUUGUUUAAUUCGAUGCAACGCGAAGAACCUUACCAGGUCUUGACAUCUGCGGAAGCCGUCGUAAUGGAGGGCGUGCCCUUAGGGGAGCCGCAAGACAGGUAGUGCAUGGUUGUCGUCAGCUCGUGUCGUGAGAUGUUGGGUUAAGUCCCGCAACGAGCGCAACCCUUGCGAAUAGUUGCCCGCCGGACAAGCCGGAGGAACUCUAUUUGGACUGCCGUUGACAAAACGGAGGAAGGUGGGGAUGAUGUCAAAUCAUCAUGCUCUUUAUGAUCUGGGCUACAAACGUACUACAAUGGCGCGAACAGAGGGGAGCGAGGCCGCGAGGCGGAGCAAAACCCAAAAACGCGCCCCAGUUCGGAUUGCAGGCUGCAACUCGCCUGCAUGAAGUUGGAAUUGCUAGUAAUCGCGGAUCAGCAUGCCGCGGUGAAUACGUUCCCGGGCUUUGUACACACCGCCCGU
rnacentral:rRNA from 1 species